rnacentral:misc_RNA from 1 species
UAAACUCAAAGAAAGCCGUAACUUACAUAACUAAUUCGCGUUGACGCUUACUGUGAGUGAAUUUUCAAAACACACGAGUUAAUCAGGUGAAGUUUGAAAAACAUUGAAAAAAACAAAAACGUUACCGAUAAUGGUUACAUCAUUUUGUGAAAUAACACAGGACGAAAAACAAGGAAGGUAUUUAAAGACAACUCAGAAUGUUCCAGAAGGAAGUUUGAUUUUAAAAGAAGAACCGUUAGUUAUCGGUCCUGAAGGGGUCGGUGUUGUUUUCUGUUUUUGUUGCAAUAAAAUUUUGAAUGGUGUAAAAAUUCCAGUAUGUCCGAAAUGUAAAACCGCUAGCGUUUGUAAUGAAAAUUGUGAAGGGAUUUGGCAUAGCGAUAACGAAUGUGAUUUUUUCUCUAAAUGUUCCGUCCAAUGUGGGCAUUUCCUAGUUAACAGUCAAAUCAUUUUACCUUUGCGCUGUUUGGUCUUCAGAAAUUCAAACAAUCAAAAAUGGGACGAACUUUUGAAGCUUGAAUCCCAUUUAGAAAAAAGAAGAAAAUGCCCAGUCUGGAAAGAUAUCGCUAUUAAUAUUGAAGCGUUGUUUCUAAAUUUGGGAAUCAUAUCAAAAGUAGAUGUUGAAAAUGAACUGAUUCAAAAGAUAUGUGGAAUAUUGGAUAUCAACUCGUUCGAACUCCGAACUAAUGCAUUUAUAGAUAAUUACAGUUCAGGUCCAGUACAUGUUUUGCGAGGGCUGUACCUGAAAGCAGCAUUGAUUAAUCACGAUUGCGUUGGAAAUACACAUCUGGCUAUUGAUGAUAAUUAUAAUCUGAUUAUCCAUGCAAGUAUAGAUAUUCCUGUUGGAGCAAGCGUUUAUUUCAACUAUUCCAAUCCUCUUAAGGGGAACAACGAACGUCGCCUGAUACUACGCCAAAGCAAAUACUUCGAUUGUCUUUGCAACAGAUGCCUAGACCCGUCCGAACUAAAAACCGAAAUUAGUUCUUUGAGAUGUCCACGAUGUAAACAUGGCUUUGUUCGACCCGUUAAUGUUGAUGGAUCGUAUAAUAUGUGGUCGUGUAACACUUGUCAGAGAGAUUUCAGUCAUUCCUUGGUACAGAGCACUAUAAUUGAAGCAAGAGCCUUGUUAAAUUCACUUAAUAUCUCGGACAUAGCUGAGCACGAAGAACUUCUACAUAAAUUAUUAAAAACGUUUAGUCCAAAUCAUUUUCUACUACUAGAAAUAAAACAGAACUUGAUAGGUUUGUAUACUCAAUCUGAGCCGAAAGUAAACAAAUUACGACGCAAAAUCGAACUUUGUGAAGAACUACUGCCACUAUUUAGAGUAGUUGAACCAGGACUAUCGCGAAUGCAAGGAAUCACUCUUUACGAAUUACAAAGUGCUCGAGUAUUGUUAGCUGAAAAGCGAGUUAAAAACAAGGAAAUUGACGAAAAAGCUUUUAUCGAGGUUCUUAAAGAUGCGGACUCGUUGCUGAAGCAGUCAAUUAAACACUUAUUGUACGAACCAAAAUGCAGUCCCGAAGGCAGGCUUUGUUUGGAGUGUCUUGGAGAACUUAAACGAAUUAGAAGCUUAAUGACCGAAUUAGAACUGUCACCGUGUUGUAAUGAAGUGAAAAGUCAUCGGAAAAAGGAUAAAACUAGUUGUCUCUCCGAGCUUUAGUUGAAACUAACACUAGAGAAAGUAAUUUGGGAUUGAAAAUAAGAUAUGGUUUAUGCCCCUUUAUACUAAUAGCAGUUUGUAGUAAAUACAGGGUUAUAACGUUGUCAGAUGCAAGAUUGGUUUGAUGUUUCUGAGGUAAUAUUAUUUGGAAAUGACCAUGAAACGACAAUACAAACGAAACUAUUCGGAUAAAUCUCCGUUAAAAGUUGAAAGACAACAGAGCCUGCUUUAUGAUUCCUUACUUUCGAAGCAGGGACCAUUGGAACGUUGAAAGGUUGAGAAUAAAACAAUAAAAGAUUAUGUAGUUUACAAAAAGACGUUUGGUAAAUGCAGGUGAAGUGUUUUAUUAAAAUUAUCAAGGUAAUUAACACAAGCAAUAUGAUUAGUAAAUACAUGCUACAAAUGUGAUAUACCUAAUGAUAUAAAUAUUGUAAAUUGUUCUUAUUAACAUUCUUGAAGUGAAACUUCUUUGUCGACGUAAGAAGGAAAUUUAAUAGAAUAUAAAACCGAAAAGUGUAACGUCACGCGUAACGCGUUACGUGUGACCCUUGGUGGAUAUGUCCAAAAGGAGUCAUUUUAACAGGCUUCAGAUGUCAACCUGUUAGUAGCAAUGGAUAAUCCGAAAAUUUCGAAAUCAUUUCGAUAAAUUGUCAGCAGAUCGCGCUUGCGCUGUACUGCAUACAUACAUCUAUAUUGCAUAUGCGUUUGUAUUUGUUUGUUCUGAUUUGCAGUUUCUCAUUGCAGUUUCCUAUGGUACAAGAGUAAAUGUUUUUAAUAAAACUAAACCAGUAAAAAAUUAAAUUGAUUUUUUUAGGUAUUUAGUAAUUAGUUGACGCAAUAGUUUAAUUAAAAAAUACUAAGUACUAUAAUAUGCAGUCUAAUGAAGUUUCACUUUUUACGCGUGUAUACUAAUACACGCUCGCCCCAUUUUUUUACUUUCCAGUUGUGGUCCUCAUAACAGCAACAAACGAAUAUGCUGUUUUAACAAUCUAAAAAGAUAAAAGAAGGAGAAGACUGAGUUUUUAACAGAAGGUGGAAAAAAUUUCAACAAUAUCGUCACUAUCUUAGAUCUACUAUUGAUGAACUAAGCAAAACGUUUGUAUUGUCACAUGCGUAUACGCCACCCAACAUACAUGGUAACCAGGUUUCUAGACGGCAUAUAUCGGAUCUUUUUAGAACUUGUCCAGCUCCUAUAAAUAGCGGUCGCGAGAUUGAGUAUAGUUAGUACGAGAACGAGUUCGAGGUGAUACAAGGCGAAGAAGUGACAAAGUGUUCAUAUAGUGGUGAAUCAAUA